rnacentral:rRNA from 1 species
AUUGAACGCUGGCGGCAGGCCUAACACAUGCAAGUCGAACGAGUGGCGGACGGGUGAGUAAUGUCUGGACAACUGCCUGAUGGAGGGGGCUAACUACUGGAAACGGUAGCUAAUAACGCAUACCAUCAGAUGUGCCCAGAUGGGAUUAGCUAGUUGGUGGGGUAAAGGCUCACCAAGGCGACGAUACCUAGCUGGUCUGAGAGGAUGACCAGCCACACUGGAACUGAGACACGGUCCAGACUCCUACGGGAGGCAGCAGUGGGGAAUAUUGCACAAUGGGCGCAAGCCUGACGCAGCCAUGCCGCGUGUAUGAAGAAGGCCUUCGGGUUGUAAAGUACUUUCAGUGGGGAGGCGUUACCCGCAGAAGAAGCACCGGCUAACUCCGUGCCAGCAGCCGCGGUAAUAC